ACUCAGUGGCUGAGUGAAUAUUGCGAUGGCGUUUGAAGCGAAAGGUACUGGGUUCGAGUCAAAAGUGA
rnacentral:tRNA from 1 species